UACGUAGGGGGCUAGCGUUGUCCGGAAUCAUUGGGCGUAAAGCGCGCGUAGGCGGCCCGGUAAGUCCGCUCUGAAAGUCCAGGGCUCAACCCUGGGAUGCCGGUCGAUACUGCCGGACUAGAGUUCGGAAGAGGCGAGUGGAAUUCCCGGUGUAGCGGUGUAAUGCGCAGAUAUCGGGAGGAACACCUAUGGCGAAGGCAGCUCGCUGGGACGUUACUGACGCUGAGACGCGAAAGCGUGGGGAGCAAACAGG
rnacentral:rRNA from 1 species